rnacentral:lncRNA from 1 species
GAUAAUAACUUCCUUAUAUGAUUAAAGUUGAUUAUUUGUAUUAAUUGGGUAACUUAUUUUGCAAGAAAUUGAAAUUAGGUCAAAUAUAGAUAAUGACAAAAUUAAUUGUUUAAUUUAUAUUAUUUGUUAUUUGAUCCUUGUGUUAUGAGAAGUUUCAAUUUUCCCCUUUAGGUUUUAUAGUUUAAAUUUGAACUCAAAAGUUUAGUUUUGAAAUUUAAAUAGUUGAAACCCUAAUGUUUUGAAAAAGGUUUCAAAACUUGCCCUCAAGUUUUGGAAUUUAAAUUUUGAUUAAAAGUUUAAUUUUGAUGUAUAUUUAAAUUCUAAACCUAAAUGUUUUGAAAUGUUUCAAAACUUGCCCUCAAGUUUUGGAAUUUAAAAGUUGAUUAAAAGUUUAAUUUAGGAAUGUUAAAUUCUAAAACCCUAGUAUUGUUUUGAAAAGUUCAAAUCACACCCUUAUGGUUUUAUUAAUUAAUUAAGGUGUAUAAUUAAAAGAGGUUUAAUAAAUCCAUAAAAGUUUUGGUUUACAAUUUAAUUGAAUUAAAAGUAUAAUUGUUAAAUUUGACCUCCUAGUAUUUUAAAAGUGUAAAAUACACCCUAUACUAUAUAUAACAUUAAAAGUCUAACAUUAUAUAUAUGUAUGAGUAAAAGUCAGUCUUACCGUUAGUAGGCCUCAUUCACGAAGCUGGUCUAUAAGGGGUGUUUAAGGAAAUUGCCUAUAAAAUGGCGAUUGAAUGGGUAUCCACUCUUACCCACCGCACUCUUGACUAGUGGAGGGUCGUUAGCCGAACGGGUAGGAUAGGACAAAACCUUCCAUUAUAAGUAUAAUGAAGUACAAAAGUAACUAAAUGUUUUACAAAUUCCCAAUCUUAGUUACUUAGGCAAAAGUGAAUUGAUGCAAUUCCAUGAAAUUACACUUUGUGCCCUUGCGAAGACGUUAGUGGAGCGUGUGUGGUUUACCGGCACACUAAAUGGUUCUAAGCAAAGGUAGCAAAGGGUGACUCAAUGUUUCUCAUAGUUCGGUGGAGCGUGUGUGGUUUACCGGCACAUCGAAUAGAUGACUGUAACAUGUGAGGGCACCAUGUAAGUUUCCAUGUGUAUUCACACCCACUUUGUGAUCCUCGGCAUCCCUGUCACAAACUAGAGGGUCAUAUCGAGAUUUAAACAUGCCAUUGAAACGUUCAAUGAAUCUCAAAGGAUCUAGGAGUUUUCAUUACAUUUAAAACUUAAUCUCUUUUUCAUUUUUCAUUGUGAAAAUUUAGUGAAUAGUCAUUCACUUAUCUUCAAAUGUUCUGCAAUNUACCUUCAAAUAUUAUGCAACUAGAUUACGACAUCCCUUUUCUAGGUUGUAGCAUAUUGUGUUGGGUCCUAGCCUUAGUAUCUCAUUUGGGUGAUUUACUAAGGACUCAAUCAAUCAACUAACUUAAAUUCGUUUUCUCCCGUUUAGUAGAUGUCAAAGUUCGACAACUAUGGUCUUCCUAAAUGCCAUGGAACAAGCUUUCCGCAUGAAUAUGAUAUUCCACGAUUCGAUCGAGGAACAAGAGAUCAUGCUUCACUUCCUCCACCUCCUCCAAUUAUUCACCCUAACCAACAAGUUCGAAGGCUUGAAAAGUUCACACUCACUCAAGCCCUUUUGGCAAGUAAACAUAAUGUAGGAAAGUCAGUGUGUGCACACAUCCUAGGGUUGAAGUCACACAUUGAUAGGUUUAGAAUGUUGGGAUCCGUUGUCUGUGAGGAGAUGGCUGUUGAUUGGGUUCUUCAGUCACUCCGUAACUCAUAUAGUGAGUUCGUAAGAGAGUACUAUAUGAUGAACUGCGACGUGACCCUUAUAGAUCUCACCUAUAUGCUUAUUGCUGCCGAAUCAGCAAUGGUUUGGCGCAAUUGAAAAGCAAAGUUGAUUGGUGAAUCUGCCUUCAAGACUUCUGUGGAUAUAGACAAUGGCAAUGAAAGACAUGCUAUGAUCGAAAAGUUUGAUCAUAAGAGAAAGGCAAUGUUUGAAGUAGUUCCAUGUUUCGUUCCAAAAGAGUCAAUUUGCUUUUAUUGCCAAGAGAAGGGGCACUGGAGACGAAGCUGCCCUAUUUACCUAAGAGAUCUAAGAGAUGGGAGAGUCAAAACGUAUGGCUUUGCUUUAGGUAAAAUCCAUUGACUAACUCUUUUAAGCUCCUAUUCUAGAUUCUUAAUACAUAAUGUGAUAAGAUUACAAUUGAUGUUUUGUAGGAUCGAAGAACAGAGAGGAAGCUUAAGGGAAGAAGUGAGCAGAAUUUAACGGUAAAGAAAUGGAUUUCGAUCGGAUUACUUGAAGAUUAGAUUCUUGAGCUACUACUUAGAGUUAGAAUUGGAAAUAUGUAUGAGCAUAGUUUUUCAAAGAAUUGCAUUGUAAAGGCAAAUUUUUCCGCAAUAAAAUAAAUUUUGAUUAUAUAUCCUUACAACGACAUGCAUGAAAAAUUGAUGUUUGAAUGUUUCUAUUAUUAGCAAUAAUGGAUUUGAUUCUUAAUUAUGGAAAUGUCGAAAAUUUACCAAAUAAGGAGAGUUUCUCAUCGCCCAAGUUUCAGUUGGACAGAAAUUUGGAAUCACGCAACUUGGUUGCAUGAUGAAUGAGAAAUUUCUUAUUUGGAAAUUAGACUAAUUCGUUGACAAAGUGUCAAGUGAAGAACUAGGAGAUCGAGUACACAAAGUUGCGUGUUGAUCAAGUCCACCAUAAGAGUAACAAAGAUAUUCGUCAUGAUUUACUAAAGGUUUAGUAAAUAUGAUUAUACUUAUAAGAUUAAGUGUAAUUCUGAAUUGAUUGAAAAAGUUUAAAUCAAUAGCAGAACGAAUAAGAAGAAUCAAGUAGGCAGAAAGAUAAAAGUUUCUCCAUUCUAAGAAGAAGGGAGAGUACCUUUUAUGCUUUAUGAUAAGUCUUAAUGAUUAAGAACCAUAUCUCAAUUGAUCCUCUAAGUGAGUCUUAGUACAAUUGUAUGUCUAAGAAGAGGAAUCAAGAAUUGAAGAAAUGGUUAAAUCAAGAAGUCAAUCAUACUUCGUUCCAAAACAAGUCUUAGAGUUAAGAUUGUGACAUUGAGUGAAAAGUAUUAAGAAGGUUUAUAGCAUUCAUCAAAUGUGGAAAGUUGUGAUGUCUUGGAUAAGACAAAGACCAACUAGGACCAAUUUAUGAAGUGUUUUGAUAAAAACUACACUAACUCUUGAAUAUUUGUUUGUCAAGAAAUGUUUAUUGACAAGAGAAUCUUAUAUGUCAAGGAGUCAGUGGGAGUCUUAAUGGUCUUGAAAGGUUUCAAGAACAAAUCAAAAUAAACCUUAUCGAUCAUCACUAGCACACGAGUUGAGGUUUACAACCUAUCGUGUUGACACUAUUUUGUUUCUGUGCCAUUCCAAUUGAGUUAAUUAUGCAUGUGAGUUCUAUGAGUUCUCACUUGAACGCAUAAAAGGCAGGCACCUUGAUCGAUGGAAAGUACAUUGAUAGGAAAGGGUGAGCCGUAUAACUACUUCGAAGAAAUGGUGGGCAACUGUGUUACCAUAAGGCAAGAAAUCAAGAUUAAGAAAGUUCGGUCCAUACGAGUUUCAAUUUGUUGUAAACUUUGGUUUUGACGACUUCACAUGGAUAGGAACACAUACACCAUUAAAAUCUAAGUGUCAUAAGAUUCCCUCCUUCAUGAAAAUGACUGUGAGGAAAUGCUUUCACUAAGAGAGAUUUUAAGAAGAUAGUGAUUGUGAAAAUUGGAUUCUCGAAUUCGAUUAUGGUUACGGUAUCCCUUUCCAUGAUUCGAAUUGUGAGAUUUGGCAAUUAGUCUGAAUUGUUUAGACACACAUAUGAGCUAUCUAAGGCAAAGGUGUAUAAGUUUAAGAAGCCUUGAUAAAAGAUUAUCAAAGCAUUGGGUAUUAGAAAUAUGAACUUAAAGAAAUUCAAUAGGCAUUGUUUUUCUGAAAGUUAAGCUGUUUCUGAAUACAUGUCAAAGCUAGUGGGAGCAUAAGUGUUAUGUUUAUAAUAAUCAUCAUGAUAGUGGGAGCAUAAAUGUUAUGAUUGCAUGAUUAUUAAGGCAAGUAUUGCAAGUUAGCAAUAUUAAUUAUAGAAAACAAGAGUUAUACUUUGCAAAGUCGCAAUGGUUGUAAAGUUGUUUUGCUAUAAUUAAGGGAGAGAAUAUUAUGCUUCAUUUCAAAUUUAAAGGUUUAGGUUGUGAAAUGUUAAUUAAUUUAGUCAAGGAAACAUAGUGUUUUCUCAAAUUUAGAUUAUGAUUAUGGCAUUCCUCUUCAUAGUUCGAAAUUUGAGAAUGUAGCACAUAAAAUAUUAUGGCAGAAGAUUGAUAAAGUAUCGAAUCUUCAUGUAAGACAUUAUGCAUCGUGUCCCAUACGCUUCGNAUUGAUUGAAAAUGCUAUAAUAUUUGACCAUCCUAAAAUUUUCCAAAUGUCUAGCGCAUUUAGAGGGAAAAUGGACAAGAAUCGGUUUUGACUAAGAUAAUUAAACAACUAUCAAAGGACGAUCCAAAGUUCGCCGAGGAUUGGUCGCUUGUGAGUAGUUGGAAGUAUAGUAUUAUUAUUUUAAAUAGAUAAGAUUCUAUUGAGAAUGAGUUGUCAUAUGGAAAAUAUGGAAACGUUUGCAUAUUGGGAAUUGAAUAUUAAAAAUCUAUGUAUGGAUUAGAAACUUUUAUGUAAAAGGAUGUUCAAAGGAAUGUACUUUGAGUGAGAGACAUCAUAUCUAAGGAAUUAUAUUGUAACAAUCUCUGAUAGAGGACUUUGUAAUUUCAUUAGCAAUAGUCAUUGUGACUUUUGUGCUAUGACAUUACGAAAGGAUCAUUGCAUAAAAUGUUAGAAUCUACAUAUUCCAUAAUUGGCAAGAAUUUGAUAUUCUUUCACUUGUGAAAAGGAUUGGGAGUUGUGAAAUGAGUAUGUUUGGAAAUGUGUUCAUUUGAUCUAUUUCACAAAGUAAGAGUCAUAGGUAAACAUUAUGUGCAUGCUAAGAGCAUGGGACAAGUGUUGUAAUAAUUCAUGUAAAAAGUUGAUUACCCGAAACAACAAAUAAUGAGUAAUCGAUAUGGUGAUAAAUAAAAGGUGUUUUAUUUAUACUCAAAGGUUUGAGGCCAUAUGGGAUUAGUAUUAUUCUUGUGUUUCACUUUGCAUGUUUUGACUUCCUGAAUAAUUUAAUUGGUUUAGAACAGUCAAAUUAUUCGAACGGGCCAUAGUCGUUCAUAUGUUGGAAGUAGGUAUGAAUAAAGACUGUCAUGAAUUGGUGUGUGGAUUGUCUAAAGAGUAUUACACAUAAGCAAAUGUUUGCUGCAACGUUCAUGAGUGCUUAUGAAUAUGAUUUGAGCAUUGGAUUAAACCCACGCUCACUUGGAUCACUCCAUGAAUUGUAUCACGAGUGAUUGGUGAGACGAUAACAUCUUAUAUUCUUGAAACCGAGAUGUGUGAGUUGUAUCUUGCAAAUCGGUUGCACAUUGAUAAUAUGUAAACGCACUAGUAACUUGGUGUUAUAAAACAUAUUGUUGUGUGUGAUUCGGUGAGUGAGUGCAAGCAAGCAUUGUAUCAAAGUUUAUCCGUUCCUUUUAUCCAAAGUAGGAUAAAAGCGAUAUCUUUGGGCCCCUCGAUGAUUUAGUGAUGACAAACGUAAAUGCUCGGCCGGGCUAGGGCUAAUUUGAUUUGUUCAAUUAGUCAGUCGUCAUAAAUCGGAAGUCGAGAAAUAGUACAGAGAGAAUGAUUAGAAAUCAUGUCUCAUACGAUAUCUAGAAUGGAGGAAUAUAUGAUCCCUUAUCUAAAGGACACGCGUAUCUGAUAGGAUCAGAGUUGACAGCGGCUUUGGAAAGCUACGAUUGCAGAUCAGGAUCUGAAGUCAUACGCAUAAUAGUUAUUAGACUUAUCCAAGUGGGAGACUGUUGGAUUAGUGUCUAAGUCCAUAACUAUUUUGGUAUGUACUUGACCCGAUGGUGCAUGGUCCUUUUGGGUUGCCUUCACGAAAGAAACUUGAUAGGAUGAAUUAUGGAGAGAAAGGAUUAAAUAUGAUUUAUUAACAUAUAAUGAGAAUAAUAUAUUAAAGGAGAAAUCAUAUUGUUUAAUUAAUAUUAGUCAAGAAUUAAUAAGAAUUAAGUUUGUGACUAAAAGAGAUUAAUUAAACUUAAGGGACUGGAAUUGUAAUUAUAAGAUAAUUGCAAUUUGGGCUAUGGAUUGCCUUAUAUUAAGGAGUGGACGAAUUCUAUGGGGAAGCCCAUUAGAAAUCGUCCAAGGCCUUUAAGGAAAUGAAUCCAUGGGUUGCUUAGGGCUUAAGCAUCCAAAUUAGGCUUUCCUUGUUAGAUAACCCUAAUAGCCUCACUAUAUAAAGAGCCCUUAUGCCCCAAAAACGUGGAUAAGCUUCUUUCGAAGGUUUCCACACGUUUUGGGCAGCCUCCUUCUCUUCUCUUCUUCAUCCUCUUGCUCUUGGUGUUUGUGAACCAUUAGAGGAGUGACAUUUGUGACUCUAAGAUUUCUAAAGUCAAUACAAGAAGGAUUUGAGAUUGUUAUUGCUACAUAACAAUCAUGGUAUGAUCCAAACCCUAAUUAUAUGUUAUAUUGAUUAUCAUAUUCUAGAUCUAGGGUUUAUAGUCUUGGAUAAAUUGCAUGUACAAUAGAGAAACCUAGAUCCAAACAUUAGGGUCUGUAUGAGCACAUAGAAUGUUCUUUUGACUAAAACCCAUCAAGUACAUCUUCAAAGUAGCAGUUUACAAAAUACAAAGUACAAUGGUAUACUACAAUUUCCAAUAACAGCUGGUGAAGCCAGGCACACUCUCAGAUACAAGUUUUACAAAUACAUUGGUUUAAAAUAGGACGGUUUUAUGGGAAUAAAACUACUUUUCACAUACCACAGAAAAUAUGGGAUUUUCUAGAACAGUUUUCAUAUUUAAAAUACAAAGACACCCAUUCAAACAUAAAGACUUAUGUACUCACUCAACUAGUUGUUGAUACUCUCUUUUCAAAUUACUUGUAUUAUCAGGGAAAUAAUAACAGGUACUCCCCGAGCUUUUUGAGAAGAUGGAGCCAUUAAGAGUCUUAUCUUCUUCUUUUGUAUAACUAUUUUGGUUUCAAUAUACAAUGUUUGAACACAUGUAAAUAUUAUACUUUUAAAUACAAUGGUUGUUUGUGCUUUGAUUACUAUGAUGCAUGUGUUGUGAUACUACAAAUGAAGUCCUCCACCUCGGACGUUUCCGCCGUCUGGUUUGGGGGCGUGACAAGUCGUGGGCCCUGAGAGCAAUCCAAACUUACGGUGUGGGCUCAGGGGUAAUAUAAUCUUUUAGCUAUGGACCCAUUUCUUGAUGUUAUUGGAUAUGUGUUGGUAGUUUAUGGGAAACCCACUAAGCUUUGGGCAUAUAGUUUUGGGUUAUGUUUCAAGUACAUGAGAUGACCGCGGGAAGGCGAAUGCAUGAUCAUACACCUGCUCGUGUUUUGAUUUAUGAUUUUGCGAAAACACUGAUAUUAAACAUGUUUUGAAAACUAUAUUGUAAACAAUGAUGAUUUUUGGAUUGGUUCUAAAAGUUUAAAUUUUUCAUGAUUUUUAUGGGUGUUACAUAAUACCUAAGUAACAAGUUAUUUCACCAAGGUCCAACAUUUCAAAUUGCAAUGCCAUUAGUCUCUUGUACGGUUUAUAAACUCUAAAAUCGUCCCUGUCAUGAAUAAAUAAUCUAUAUAGACUGCGAUGUUGAUAAAUUCCCCGUUGGUCAUGCUUUCAUAAACAACACUUUCUUGUAAACGUCGUUGGUAACCCAUUUUGUUUAAAUUGUUGUUAAGAUUUAGGUUCCACACCCUUCGGGAUUUCCUUAGACCAUAUAAAGCUUUUUCCAACUUGUAGACUUUACUAUCUUCUAGUAUUUUCACAAAACCUUCAGCUUGACAAACAUAUACUUUUACCUUUAACGUACCAUACAAAAUAUCAUUUUUUAUGUCCAAUUGAUAAAUCUUUUAUCCUUUCCCAGUUGCGAGAGUAACCAAUAGUCUUAUUGUCUUGAGAUGAGCUACUAGUGUGAAUACUUCAUCAAAGUCAACACCUUGUUCUUGUAAAUAGCUUUUAGCAACUAGAAGUUCUUUGUACCAAAUAAUCGAAACAAUUGUAUUCCUCCUGAUUUUAGUAACCAUUUUAACUCGAUAUGAUAAACAUUUUAGGUGGAGAAAUCAAUUUCUAUUUGUUAUUUUUCUUAAUCGAGUCAAUCUCAGCCUUCAUAGCUAUAAUCAGUUCAUUGUUCAUUAUGGAUUCAUUAUAGUUUCUUGGUUCCUCUUGAAGUGUUAUCAUUAAAUGAUCGACAUUCAACUCGAAGUCAUUUAACAUUCUGCGCAACACUGAAAACACGACUGGUGUGUCGAAGCUGGACAUAACCUUCAUUAUUACUAUGCUCAUCUUCAGAUUAUGUAGGGCUAGUGUCUGUGUGUAAUGGGCUAUCACUAUGACCCAUUUGGGCCUGAUCAAUGGGUUUUAUAGUUUUGAUUGUAGAUGGGUUUGGUCCUAUUUUUUGAGCUCCUUCCGGUGUUCAAACAUCACUCCACAGGACCAAGAAUGUACGUUGUCUGCUUUUCGCUUCAUUUUCGAGCACGUUAUUCCAUUGCCAAGUCUUUUUUCAUCUUAGAUUGCGUAGGCACUUACAAUAAUUUUCUUUUCUCGCUGAUUGUAUAGGCAGAAUCUGAUUGGUUUUCUAGGUUAUAAAAAAUACAUGUAAGCGGAAAAAAACUUAAACCCUUAAGUUUACAUGCAACCUAAGGUAAACCUAUUAUAAACGAAAUAUGAAUAUGAUUAGGUUUAUGUAUCUUUUUUUUGUAGUAAACAAAUCACUUCAAUCUCAUAUGUUUUGUUGGUCUUGGAAAGCUAGCACCAAAAGGAUGAUUCCGCUAAUGGCUUACACCCAAAAACAAAAACCCUAGAAUGAGGAGGAGAUGGAGAUAUGAGGUAAAUUUCAUUCCGAUGCAUUUAGGCGAUGUAGUGAAAGAAAAUUGGAAGCCAAGCAUCCUAUUUAUAGUUUAAGUGACGUACAGGUAAAUCAAGAUUUGAAUUGAUUAAAUAGUAGAUUUAAUCCUAAUUCAAUUACUUUCUGUUUAUGCAACCAGGCGGCUUCCACAAACCCAAGGAAACCCUCCAAAACUAUCUAUAUCAUGGAGGGUUCUAGAAUUACUUCUGUUUUUCAACUAUUGAACAAUUACAGUUCAGCCAUUGCACCUUUACUUAAUUCCAGAUUAUUUAUGAUUAAUAACUAAUCAAUUCUAAUUGAUUUCACAUUAAUUAUUAAUCAUAUAAAUUAGGAAAUCAAUUUUUUAAUAAUUAAUCUCAUAUUAAUUUAUUAAUGACAUAAUAAAUCAACAAAUCAACUAUAUGUUUCUAAUUAAUAUACUAAUCACAUAAUAUAUUUACAAAUCUUUUUCCCAUAAAUUACAAUUAGUUUAUUAAUUAUAUAUUAAUCUAAUACAUUAUACUUCUCUCUCCUAGUAUCAUUUCUAGCUAUUUCUGGUUAUUAGGUCAAACGAAAAAAGGACACUGUUUUUAACUACAAGAGUAUACCAAUUUAGUUAUGAGCUUAGACAUGUUAAUCCGAUAGUCUCCCAAUUGGAUAAGUUUAUAACUACAUUUGUAAGUUUAACCUUGAACUAAAAAACAAAGAGGGCUUUCUAAAGCCACUACCAAACUCUAACGUUAAUCAAACAUUGGCCUUAAGAUAAGUAAUCAACUAUUCCUUUGUUCUACAAGAUAUUGUAUGAACAAAGUCAUGGAUUAGAUGAUCAACCACAUGUUCAUUUGUUUGUUUUCUGAUUUCCGAAUUUGUGAUCAAAUUUAAGAUUACAAAAUUGAACACCUUAAUUCAAUCUGCACUAUGCCUGGUUCUUAUAAAUCAAUAGAAAUCACCGAGGGGCCCAUAGAUAUCGCUUUUCCUGUUAGGGAAAGAUGAAUAAAUUACCUUGAGUAUAUGGUCAUACAAUUUACCUAUCAAAUCACACAUGGAAUAACCCUUUAUAACAUCCAGUUACGAGAUGUGUUUGAGCAAACCAAUGCACAACUGAUUUGUAUACUAUGAACUAUAUAUCCUUAAUUUUAAGAAUACAAGAUAUCAUUUUCUUAAAAUUACUUGUGAUUGAAUCCAUGAAGUAAUUGUUGGAUUAAUGUCUAAGUCCAUAACUAUAUUUGGUAAGACUUGACCCGACCCGGCAUGGUCCAUUUGGGUUGCAUACCAUCAUGCACUUGAAUGAGAGAAAUAAGACACUUAUGGUUAUUAAUAUAUUAUAAGUUCUAGUAUAUUAAUAAUAAGAAUAAUAAGAUUAUUUAAUUAGUAUUGAUCAAGAAUUAAUCUAGUGAUCAAAAGAAGACUAAUUAAAUAUAUGGGUUGAUUGUGUAAAUCAUCCAUACUUGUAUAGUGGGCUAAUGCUCCAUGGAUAAUCAAGUUGGGCUAAAACCCAUAGGAUGGUCCAUGGAUGCUCCAUGGUGUAUUUGUACCCAUGGAUCCAAGGAAAUGGAAAGCCAUGACAAUUAAGAGUUUACCCUAAUUGUGUAACUAUAUAAGCAUCUUAUUAUUGAGGAAAAAUCGGCCACUAGAGAUAGUGAAGAAAGGGCUAGCCGAUUUUGAUGAGUGUAGAAUUCUCUCAAGUCAUUCCAAGUGUUUUGAUGAUUGUGAUUCCAUUUGAGGUGUCACACUUGGGGCACUAAGCACUCAAGCUUCAUGAAGACUUACUACACCAAAAAGGUAUGUAUUCUAUCCUACUAUAUCCAUUGUUUUAUAUGCUAGAUUAGGAUAAUACCUUGGAAGUUCUUAUUUGCAUGUAUAAUAGAGAAAACGUAGAUCCAAGGUAUUUAGGGUUGCAUGUACACUUAGGAAGUGUUAGAAUGCUCAAAACCCAACAGUGGUAUCAGAGCCACGGGUUGUUUUCUGUUAUAUUGAUGCAAAUAUUUUAUUUUCAAAGUUGAAAAAAAAAAAAAAAAAAACAUGAAGUUUGUCAAAUUUUAAAAUAAUUACUUGUUCUUGUGAAAAACUAAUUAUUUGUAAAAUUUGAAUAAUUUGCUUUAUGAGUUGAAUUAGGUCAAAUUUAAUAAAAGAUAAAAUAAUAUGAUUAUUUUAUUAGUUUUAAAAGUUUGAUCUAAAGAGUUUUAUUUUUUUAAACCUCCAUAAGUUAUGGAUAUGAAAAGGUUUUAAAAAAAAAAAUGAUUCAAAGUUUUUUUGGAGUUACAAAAUUUGGUGUUAAUGUUUUAAAGGAUUCCAUAACUUAAGAAUAAGUUAUGGAUCACCAAAAGUUUUUUGUGUUACCUUGUUUUAUGAGUGAAUUUAGAUUAAUGAAUAAAAUUAUGUGAUAGUUGGUUUUAAUCCAAAUUAAUCUAAGAAUUGAUUCUAAAAUGUGUUUUUGUAACUUGUCCUCAAGUUAUAUGAAAAGUCACAUUUAAGAAUCAUAAAACUCAUAAAAAUUGGCAAAGGUUACAAAAAUGAAGAGUCUAGUUCUAAUUAAAUGGUUUUAUGACUCCAUAACUUGUCCUCAAGUUAUGGAGGACCAAGAGUCUCUUCAUUUAAUAAAAUAAAAUAAAAUAAAAAAAAGGGUAACCUUAAUUAAUUCCAUAAGUUAUAAAAUAAAGAAAAGUUAAUUCUUUUAUUAGUUUAAAGUCUUCCAUAACUUGUCCUCAAGUUAUGGAACUUGAAGAGUUUUUGGAUUAAAACUACUUUAAACACAUAAGUUAUGGAAUUAAUUAGUUUUGAAUAGUUUCAAAACUUGCCCUCAAGUUUUG